UGGACCUGGAAAGAGAAAAAAGGUAUUAGCUUUAGCAUACAGAUACUAUCUUCAUUCACUUAGAAAUAUUUGAGUGCCCACUGUCUGCCAGGUACUGGGUAAGACUCCACUUUAUCUUACUGUUUUUUUUUUUAUAGCUGGUCUUCUCCUGACAUAUUACAUAUUUGUUUAUUGUCUAUCUUCCCCAUUAGAAUGUGAGCUUCAUGAAGGCAGACACCUUGUUUUGUUGACUGUGUAUGUCCAGCACCUGGAAACAUGCCAGGAACAUUAUCAGGGGCUCCAUAAAAUGUUAUGAAUCAUAGAGCCUGUUGCUGAGUACAGACUAGCUACCUGAAAAAUGUGGGCAAGGAGGCAUUCUAAUUGAAAGGAAUGUUAUAUGAUAGAAUGGAGUUUUUUGCUCUAAUUGCAAUCAUGUAAAUAUGGUUACAGCAAACACAGUGUGAGUGUGUUUGCGGGGGCAGAGGUGGAGAGCAGUUCUGGGAAAUUAAGUAGGGGCCAGAUCAUGAAUGUUUAAUGUAACUGAACAGAUUUAUGCAGGAAAGUAAUAUGCUCAUUCAUUUGUGAAGAAUGGAGAGGACAGGGCUAAAACUGAAAGAUACUAUUUUUGGAGGGUGAUAUGAUAGUUAAAGCAUGAAUCUUGGCUUAAAUUAAAAUUAACAGUUGGGAAGAAGUACAUAGAUUAGAACUGUUAGGAAUUGAUAACUGGAUGUAUGAAGUAAUGAAAAGAGGGGUUAAAAUUAAUAUCCAAGUUUUUACUUCAGUGAAUUAUGUGGACUCAGAGAGUUACAACUAGGCCCAGUUUUGAAUAUUAUGAAUUUCAGGUACCUGUGAGAAAUCAAACAGACAAGUCCAGGAGACAGAAAGGGAACAAAGUAUAAGAUAAUUCAUUCUGUAUAUAUCAACUGCUACCUUGGCACUCUUUUUACUCAACAGAUUCUACACUCAAGUCUGGGAGAUGCUGAGUUAAGUUAGUACAAGAUGUCUCUGAGAGCACUACUGUGCAACAUGAAUUUCCACGCAGGGGAUAUAUAGUUAUCACUUUAAUUCUGAAGCACACCUGUUAUGAUCGAUGCCCCACACAAUACACACUGGGAAGCACUGUUUUACCUCUUAAAAAAUGGUGGUACAUGGGAUGAGAAAAUUAAAUUUCUUUACUGCAAAUAAGAAUUGCUGCCAUUUGUAGAGAGAAUUUUAGUGUCACUUCUACUCUAUUGUAGGAAUAUAAGAUGACAUAACCCCACCGGAGCUAUUUUUGCCAUUACCUUUAUUAAACAGCCAUCACUGCAAUGCCACACUAUUCCUUCAAUUUUACCCUCUUUGCAAUCUUCAAACCAGGACACGAGAUCAUUGUGCUUCAAUGAAGGUAGAUUUCUUAUUUGAAAUGCUCCAUGUGGUAUAAGAAGAUGUAAUGGAUGUUUCUUGCUCCCUAACCCAUAUGGGUUUCCAUUGAUAUUUGUUCCUAUGAGUUCC
rnacentral:lncRNA from 1 species